rnacentral:rRNA from 1 species
CCUACGGGGGGCAGCAGUGGGGAAUAUUGCGCAAUGGGGGAAACCCUGACGCAGCAACGCCGCGUGAAGGAUGAAGGCUUUCGGGUUGUAAACUUCUUUGAUCGGGGACGAAAACUGACGGUACCCGAGGAACAAGCCACGGCUAACUACGUGCCAGCAGCCGCGGUAAUACGUAGGUGGCAAGCGUUGUCCGGAAUUAUUGGGCGUAAAGCGCGCACAGGCGGUCAUAAAAGUCUGGUGUGAAAACCUAGGGCUCAACCCUGGGACUGCAUUGGAAACUCUAUGACUUGAGAGCAGAAGAGGAGAGUGGAAUUCCUAGUGUAGCGGUGAAAUGCGUAGAUAUUAGGAGGAACACCAGUGGCGAAGGCGACUCUCUGGUCUGCAACUGACGCUGAGGCGCGAAAGCGUGGGGAGCAAACAGGAUUAGAUACCCCAGUAGUCAC